AAUAAAAAUAUCUUUGGUUGGGGCAACCACGAAGAAAAAAAAACCUUCGUCUAAUAAAAAAAAUCUACAAAUUUAAAAAUUUAUAAAAGUAAAAGAUCCAGAAAAUACUGAUCAAAGGAAAAAGUUACCGCAGGGAUAACAGCGUUAUUCUCUUUAAGAGUUCAUAUUGACAAGAGAGUUUGCGACCUCGAUGUUGGACCGGGGCACCCAAGAGGUGCAAAAGCCUCUAAAGGUAGGUCUGUUCGACCUUUAAAGCCCUACGUGAU
rnacentral:rRNA from 1 species